rnacentral:tRNA from 1 species
GGAGUGUGGCGGAAAUGGUAAACGCGCUGGUCCGCUAAACCAGAGAGCAAUGUUUGUCUCUUGUGGGUUCAAGUCCCACCGCCUCCG